rnacentral:rRNA from 1 species
CCUACGGGCGGCAGCAGUGGGGAAUAUUGCACAAUGGGGGAAACCCUGAUGCAGCGACGCCGCGUGAGUGAAGAAGUAAUUCGUUAUGUAAAGCUCUAUCAGCAGGGAAGAAAAUGACGGUAACUGAGUAAGAAGCCCCGGCUAACUACGUGCCAGCAGCCGCGGUAAUACGUAGGGGGCAAGCGUUAUCCGGAUUUACUGGGUUGAAAGGGAGCGUAGACGGAAGUGCAAGUCUGGAGUGAAAGGCGGGGGCUCAACCCCCGGACUGCUCUGGAAACUGUACGGCUGGAGUGCAGGAGAGGUAAGUGGAAUUCCUAGUGUAGCGGUGAAAUGCGUAGAUAUUAGGAGGAACACCAGUGGCGAAGGCGGCUUACUGGACUGUAACUGACGUUGAGGCUCGAAAGCGUGGGGAGCAAACAGGAUUAGAUACCCCAGUAGUC